rnacentral:rRNA from 1 species
AGUGAACGCUGACGGCAGGCCUAACACAUGCAAGUCGAACGGCAGCACAGGGGAGCUUGCUCCCUGGGUGGCGAGUGGCGGACGGGUGAGGAAUACAUCGGAAUCUACCCUUUCGUGGGGGAUAACGUAGGGAAACUUACGCUAAUACCGCAUACGAUCUGAGGAUGAAAGCAGGGGACCGCAAGGCCUUGCGCGAUUGGAUGAGCCGAUGUCCGAUUAGCUAGUUGGCGGGGUAAAGGCCCACCAAGGCGACGAUCGGUAGCUGGUCUGAGAGGAUGAUCAGCCACACUGGAACUGAGACACGGUCCAGACUCCUACGGGAGGCAGCAGUGGGGAAUAUUGGACAAUGGGCGCAAGCCUGAUCCAGCCAUGCCGCGUGUGUGAAGAAGGCCUUCGGGUUGUAAAGCACUUUUGUUGGGAAAGAAAUCCUGUCGGCUAAUACCCGGCGGGGAUGACGGUACCCAAAGAAUAAGCACCGGCUAACUUCGUGCCAGCCGCCGCAGUAACAC